GAGGGUAGUUUAGUAUCGUGUCAUUCAAAAGAUGAUUUGGCUUGUGACGAGCCGCUACCUUCCACAUCCGUAAACCAAACCUUAAUUGUUAAUUCUGGUUUAACAACUAUUAAUUAAAAUCAAGGAAAAGUGCUCGUCAGUCGUUGGAAACAGGUGACUACUUAGUCUUGAGAUGUUCAUGACCGCGUCGGGUCCCAAGCCCUACACGAUUUUCACGAAAGUUCUCUAACCCCGCAAGGGUUCAUCAGGGAGGCAUCCUUGAAGAGUGAUGAGUAAGGAGAGAGUAUUCAGCGACUUCACGAAUGGUUCAACGUAAUUGACCGUCACUGAGAGUUACUACUCAAAAGGUAGUGGAAACGGAGGGAAUCAAUAAUCCUUCUAAAGAUUCUCAUCAGAACUUGUAUUCUCAGAGU
rnacentral:sRNA from 10 species